GGGUAGAUGGAUAGAUAAUAUAUCACAACAUAAGUGAUUCUUUAUUAAAAAUGAGAUUGCAUGGUUAUCCCUUAACAUUGUUCAUUGUUUCCUUCUCCCUUCCCUCCCUCCCUUAUUUCUGGUUAUCAUUUCUAAAAGCCAUAUCAGUUCAAAGAAUUCUUCAUUUAAACAUCUUUACUGGGAGUCAAAUAUUAGGCCACUGAUAGGCAACACCCUUCUGUAGUGACCCAAACUCCCAUCAUAGCACAACUUUCUACAAAAUAGGUGAUCCAUAGUUUUCUAUACUGUGAGCUCCUUGAAGUAAGGAAUUUUUAUAUUGAUUUGUUUUGAUUUGGUUUGUUCACCACCGCAUCAUCAAGCAGUAUCUGCUAAAAGAAUGGAUGGAAUCAUGGGUGGAUGAUGAAUGGGUUUAUUGGUUAAUAGGAAUUCUAGCCUUGAAAGAAGUUGAAUUGCUUCUUGUCAGUAACUUUGAGGUAUCCUGUAUUACCAAAUUCUGCUAACACAAUACACGAAAGUUUGGCCAUUUCUGGCCCCACUAAGGCCACCCUGAGGAAUUAAAAUCUUCUCAAAAGUAAACAUUCUAGAGUUCUCAUUGGACUCCCCCUGAGUGCACUCAUAUGGCUUCUCUUCAGCUUUGUGCAUGUGUGUAAAGACAUACUUACCCCACACACAUACACACCAAACACAGACACACCACGCACAUACACACCACACACAGACAUACACACCACAUACAUACACACCACACAGACACCCCACACACAAACAUACAUAUCACACACAUACACCCCACACACAUACAUAUCAAACACAAACACACCACACACAGACACCCUAUACACAGACAUAUACACCACACACAUCACACACAUCCACACCAAACACAGACACACUGCACACAUGCACACCACACAUGUACACACACACACCACACACACAUACACACCACACACAGACAUAUGCAUCACACACAUACACACCACUCACACAUACACCCCAUGCACAGACAUACACACCACACACAUACAUACAUACCACACCCGUUCACAUCACAUACAUACACACCACACACACAUACACCCCAUGCACAACAUACACAUACAUACAUACCACACCAAUUCACAUCACAUACAUGUACCCCACACACCCACACAUGCCACACCCAUACACACCACACACACACUACAUACACCACACAUACACACUACACCCAUACACAACCCUCCAUACACACCACACACACACACACUACACACGCAUAUACACCACACACACUUGCACACGCCACACACCACACAUACACACCACACGCAUACACACUAGACACACAUACACACCACACAGACACACACACCAUAAAAAUACACACUCAUGCAUAGACAUACACACCACUCUGGAAUGGAUCUAUAAUGUGAAAGAAAGAAAAGAGUUUGGGGACAUUUUAAGAGAACUUUUGAUCUGAGUGAAUUUUAAACUUAUACAAAAUACCUAUCCCUUAACCAAAAUUAUUGAUUAUUGAUUCUUCAUUUUCCCCAUCUCAUAUUAUUUUAAAGUAAAUCACAGACAAUAUAUUUCAUAAAUCAGAUAUCACUCUAAAAAUUUACCAGUAAUGCCUUAAUAUCAUCCUAUACCUAGUAAGUGCUAAAAUGUUGACUCGUUUCCUAAAGGUAAAAAAGAGUCUAGCAUGCAUGGUUUGAUCAUUGGAAGGGGUCCCUGGAUUUCCCUCUUUGAAUGAGCAACUGUAGGCCUGUGUAAUUGAUGUAUCACUUUAAAACAUUUUAAAAAAUUGAUUUCCCCUUUGAAAAUAAUGAUUUUUUAACUCCCACCUCUUAAGUCUUCUUGAAUGAGCAUAAGUUCAAUUUGAGUCUCUACACCUCAACAAAGUGGAAACAUAAAUAUCAUUAAGACCAAACAAAUGGCUGUCAAUCACUUGUUAUCUUGCAAAAUGUGUUUCAUUACUCCACAAUAGGGUUUAAGACAAUUACUAAGAUAAUGUUUUUCAACACAAAAAUAUAGGCUAUCACUCCAUCCUAAAUAAGUGGAAAACUGUCAUAUAGAUUGGGUUGUGUAGAGAUUUUGGAAAUUUUUAAAAAAGUUAAGUGAUGGCUUUGUAAGAAAGCAGAAUUUACCACACCAAAAUAUAUCUUUUGGUAUAUUAGUUAUUUUAAUCCUAUUAUUUUCUAAGAAACAGUAGACAUGGAAGAAACGAGUUACCAUUUCAUAAAAACAUGCACAUUUUUAAAGAAAAGCUCAUUUGUAAGGGUGUUGCCCACUCCCUUUCCUGCCUGACCACAAGUGUGCAAUUAAAGAACAGAGUCUCACAAGGGGAAAAACAUGCUUACGCACAAAUACAAAUUGUGUGUUAAACUGCUGUUUGAGAGUAUUGGUGUAGGCCUUUGUGUUUGAUUUUAGUAUUUUGUUUUUAAAGGAGAGUUGAUUGUUAUCUGUGUUCAUGCUGCAACUUUCAGACUGCUGGUGAGAAUCAUCUGAUCUUUGCUUCAUAAAAUAAUAAUAUUAAUAAUAAACAAAGGCAUACUACAUUGGAUGUUAAUAAGGCUAUUCAUUUACUGAUACAUAGACAUUGGGUCUGAUGUGUCCUCUUUUAUGACUCAGCUGGAAAUGGUGCUCUAGUAAGACCCAUAGUGUUAGAUAAAUUGGUCAGUGUUGAGCAUACCUGUUGGGCUUUAGAAAUGCCAUUUAUAUCAAUAUGCAUAGCUGGAAGCAUAGAAAAAUUGAACUCUAUGAAGGAAAUCAACAAGUAUACUGGAAUGGAAAGUUAAAAUUUCCUGAGUAGUCCUGUGAAACAUUUGACGUUGUCACUAACCAUGUGCAGACCUCUGGACCUAGCAGUACCUUCUCUAGGGCUCUCAGCCCUACAGAAACACAGCUUGUAUCCCACAUGGUUUAUUCCCUUCUCAGAUUCCUUCCACCCCUUCUGUCUUCCAGCCUUGUCCACAGUCCAGUCUCCCCAGGGGUAGUGUAGCUUCUGACAGCCCUGCCAGACCCCACAGCAUCUAGGUAACCUCUGCCCUCCUGGCCACUGUGAUACAGAUGAACCCCACCCCAACCCCCAUGCUUGCAAAGCAUGACAUCUGGCUCUCUCCUUUGCUGCCCUAAGGUACCAGGUGUAAUAGUCAGGGGGAGCUUGUUGCCUCUGAGACGAAAGGUAGCUAUCCAGUACAGUUCUCUCUCCUUCCUCCCACAUGGAAUGUCCUGAUGGGCAGAGGGUGUGCACAGCCUGUCUGGAGAGGUCUCACAGAGCCAAGGACUGUCUGGGAAGCAUGGCUGGUUUUGUAAUGGACCCUCUUGUGUCUGAUCUCCUCCAUGGAUACUGUGUUCUCUCCCCUAACUCUUGAUGCAGUGGCAUUUUACCUCCUUACAUAGCAUCAGCGGAAUGCUUGCCUCAUGCUCUGUUUUCUAGAGAAGCCCAGCUAGGACAUAUAUUCAGGAAAAUGAAUGGAUGUGGAUAGACUUGGCCACUUUGUAUGUGAUAGUAAAACACUGGUGCCAUCCGAAACACCCAUCAAAAUAGAGCCUGGCUAUAUACACUUGUGUGUACCCCAGUUAUGGAAUACUGUUCAUCCUUUGAGAAAAUUGAGUCUAUCUAUGCCAAAGGGUUUCUAAGCUAUAUUAUUAAAUGAAAUAAAGAACAGCACAUAGAAAUGUGAUUAUAGCCUGUUUUUGGAAAAUGAUAUGUGUGUGUUUACCUUCCAAUUUUGUAUAAACAAUGAAAGCUCUAGAGGAAUACCUACAAGGUGUUAGUUUUUGCCCUUGGGUUGAGGGGUUAAGAAAGAGUAGGAAUUUUUUCACUACUUAGUUUUUAAAAUUCCAUGAUUUUAAAGAAUUUUUGCAGUAAGGGUGGGUAAUUUGAUUAAAUAAAAAUGUGUGAACAAAUAAAGAGAUCCUGAAAUAUUGAAUAUUAUUUUUUAUUUACCAAAAAAAAAACUUUAAGACUAUGGUUUUGCCACCCAGGGGAUAAACUUUACAGUUGUCAUUAGAGAUUGAAGCAAAUUGUGCACUUUUCCAAUUUUUAAACAUCAAAUUAAUCAAAUAUAAGACUAAGAAUAUGGCAAUAGUUGUCCUUUAGGAUUUUUAAAUAGAAUAUUACUUCAUUUCAUUGAAAAGACAGAAAAAUAUGAUAAAUUAAAAACCAAUUAUAAUAUGUAAUAGGCAAAAAAAUAAACUUAAGUUGAAAAUUUUUGGUUUUGUUUAUGCUCUAUUCCACAGAGUAUAGAAGGCAUUUUAACAGUUAAAUAAGAAAAAGAUGAAAGAAAGUGCCUCCCUAGUAUUCUUAAAUAUCCAUAUAAGCAGAAAAAAGUUAGAAGAAGAAUUCAGAAUGUAAUGCUAAUCUCGUUUUGGUUUGUCUUUUUGUGAUCAUUAACUAAACUACAACAUUUAACACAUAAUUGGAACUUUUCAUAAGAGCCAUGAAAUAAGAAAAGAUUAAUAAAUACAUUAUAGUCAACUAUUCUAGGUUUAUUACAAUUUGCACAGAUACAUGCUUUCACUUAAAAUUUGGUGAUUCCUAAAUAUUCUAUUUGAUAAGGGAAAUUUAGUCACUUACCUCAUUGAUAAGUAAUAGAGUAAUUAAAACUGAGUAUUAACAUAAGAGAAAGUUAUCCAGGAGCCCUAGAGAACUAGUUCCUUCUUGGUUUCCAUCAAAAUAUAAGAAAUACAAUGAAGUUAAUGUAUAUGCAUAUACCUACAUGUGCAUAUGUAUGUGUGUAUAGGUAUGUGAGAAAAUACAGUUCUGAAGCUAUAGUAGGUUUAUAAAAGUGUAGCAUUUUAUAUACUAGGUAUGUUUAUUCUGAGUCACAGAUUUGAUAAUACUUAUAUAUUUAUUUUAAAUUAAAAUGAUACGUAGUCAAGAUUGUUCCUCUUAAAGUUCAACAGGAAACAGUUCAGCAUUUUAAAAUGAUAUGUAGUAGCAUAUGAUAAAAUAUAAAAGUGAAUUAACAUCUACCUGUGGUCUAAUUACCUAUAUCUGUAUAGAUCCAUGUAGACACAUACAUAGAGACAUCUAUUCCCAGACACAAGUGAAAAUUCUGUGUCAAAUUUGCAAGUAUCAUCUCAUCAAACCCUCUCAAAAAUUGUCCAGACUUGCAAAUAUUACUGAUACCUAUUUUUCAGAGGAGCUGAUACACAGUGAUGUUUUUUAACAAGUUUUUUUUUUUUUAAUGACUUUUACAAAGUUACACAGCUUCUAUUUGAUAAUCAUGGGUCUCAAAUCUAGUUCCGACUUCUACCACAUCCAAUUCUUUCAACCAACACACUAUACUAUUAAUUGUAUUUUUAUUCCUAGUGACAAAUUAUCAAUUAAUAUUGAAAGUAAGUUGACCAUCAGAUGCUUAUUUAUCACUCCUGAAUUUAGGUUAAUGAGAAAGACUGGGUUUUUAAUAACAGUAAUAAGGAUAUAUUAAUGCCAAUACUAAACUAAUAUGAAUUUUUAAAAAGCUAACAUACAAAGUAGGAUCCAAAAUUUUUCUAAGAAACUCCUAUGUGUUAAUGUACUUAACGCUCAUAUCAACCCAUUAUUGUUCCAUUUUGCAAAUGAGUAGGCUUUUAUGGUGUGCACUGCUCUCUUCCUGGAUCUAAGAGGCACAGUGGAAUGACUAAGCAAGCUUUGUACACAUUCAGCCAUUUUGAAAUUUGAAUUUGAAGGAUGUACAAAUCCAUAAAAACAUGUAAGGCAUUUCUAUAACCAUAUAUAUUGAGAGUAAUGUCAUAGCUAGCGAACCCACACCAGGUCUGUGAAAACAUAUUUGAUAUGCAGUAUUGUAAGGACAUGCAAGGUUGAGAGUGUGCAGUCAAUUCAAUGUUGUCAUGGGUGUUGAAAUCCACACAUUUUUUAUAGUGAUCAAUAAUGCACCUGUCUUUAAGCAACUGAAAAAUAAAGUGCAUCAGUCAUUACUAUGGCAUUAUCUUUGAGAAUUUCUAUACACAUAAAGCAGGGCAUUCCAACCUCUUACUUAACCUCAGCGCCAUCAUUCUAUAUCCAAGCUUGCAUUUCAGGGUAAUAAAAUUAAGUGCAAGGUGGUUAUAAAAUACAGCAUCUAUGAAAAAAAAAAAAAGCCAAAUUAUGGCUGCUGUGGGACCAUCGCUUGAAAUUUGCUUUUGCAAAAAGUAAAGAAAUUUGAAAUCAGAGUUUGGCUUGGACAGAAAGUAUGUUGGCCUCACAUAAUUGCUGCCUAUAAAUAACUAUAUCUCAUUGGAAUGUCUUCAUUUACAUAGGAUAUAUUUAGGUAAUGCAUUUAGCAAUACCUUUUGUAUUAGUCAAGUGUGGGUCAUCCUUGUAAGGAGAAAAAGUAUUAAUCAAAUGCUCUUCAAUGACAAGACAGAAACAGUGGGGCCAUGCAUUUUCCAGAAGCUACUUGCAGGGUGGCGAGUACUCCUCAACCGGCAUGGUGUUUGACAACCUCAGAAUUUUCUAGCUUUCACAAAUGGUUAGAAAGCUGCACCAAAAAGUUUCAGUUGUCACAAUGAUGACAUUAAUUAUGAAAGUAAAAAUUUACAUCCACUUGUCAUCACAGGGCUCAUUUUAUUUUCUUAAAUUCCUCACAAAACUAUUUUUUGGAUGAUUUAUUUUGAAUGAAAAAUAAUUAGCAACUAAAGUUCCCAGAUAAUUGAUUAUUAAGAAGUCCAGUAGCUGAAAUCUCCAUGUUUUUCAGCAUAUCCUAUAUUAAGAAAUGACAGAGUCACAAAAUGUGAGGAUUCUCUGUGGCUGACAGUGUUACUGUAAUGAGAUCACAAAAAGUAAGGAUUCCGUGUUUUUGGAAUAUACAUCUUUCCCUUUUCAUCUAUAAACUGAUGUUUUAAAUAACUAAAGAGAAACUAGUUUGGCUUUUAACAUCAUUUUUCAUGUUGCAGUUCUCAUUUACAUGUAUCUCUUUAUAAAUCUGGCAAAGGGAAAAGAGCAUGGGCUAUGAUGUGAGAAGGCAUGUCAUUUUAAAAUCUAACCAAGGUACAUAUCAGUUAUGUGCCAUUGGAGAAAUAAUUCAUUUUCUCUGGGCUUAUAUUUGCUCAAUCACAAAGUAAAAAUUAAUAGCACUUAUCUUGUGGGGAUUAAAUGUGUCUAGCAUGAAGGAGAUGGGGAAAUUGAUGUCUUUUCAAAAGUAGAUGU
rnacentral:lncRNA from 1 species